CACAGGAGUAUUGUGGGAUACAACAAAGUAUAUCAAAGAAUGUUACAAACGCUAAAGCUAAAUAGUAAUGUAAGAGAUUAUUGUAUUUGUAAGGAAUGAUUUUAAAAAUUAAUAAAACAUCUUCCUUCAGAACAACUUAUAAAUAAAACUAUAAUACCAUAUUUUCUAUUUCACAUAAUUCCCAGUUCCUACAUUAAAACUUUUGGCCUGGAUUUAAAGGAAUGGUUCUUAUUUUACACUGGCAUAGUUAUUGUUACCUUUUAAGGGUAUGUGGGAUUCCAGAAUGCUGACUGUUCUUAGUAACAAGAGGCAGUGAAAAUUUGUCCCCAGAGCUCCACAUUCUGGAGGAAACUGGUGAAAUCUUAUGUUUGCUUUUCACGGAAAUUAAGAAAAAAAGAAAAACAAACAAACAGUUUGGUAGAAAGCCCAAGUAGGAAAGGAAGCUGAUGACUCUACUAAAAAUGAAGUUAAGAUAUUAGGUCCUGAUGACCCUUCAGGAGGUAAAAGUAUGCCUGAAAUAAGGCAAAAUCUGCUGGGAUCUACAGGAACUGCAAGAGACGGGCUCCUGUUGUUUCAACCCCGGUCAAAGUUCUGAAGAUGGAAUGGGGAAUAAAUGAUCCCAAGAAUGCUGGAAAAACUUGGUUCAACCACAUGCUGGAAGCUGGAGGGAGAAGGGGCCUCCUGCUUUGCUGAUAGACAGCAAGUUACAGGGACGAUGUAAAAAGGUCAGCAAAUUCAAUCUUCAUUUGAGCUACUGCUGUUAUUUUAACUCUGUUGCAAAGGGUCACAGCAUUCCAUCCCAGAUAAUGAAAGGAUGUCGGGAAAAGAUCAGAGAAGGCACACACAAAAUGGAAACUAACCAAACAAAGGCCAGAUUUCAUGCAGGGUGACAUCAAUUGGCUUCUGUUGGAGAGUCUCUGCAGUGACAUACCGUGGCUCCCUUUUUCCUCUGCUGUCUGAUAGCUUAAUGGAUUGGGGAAGGAGGACAUUAUCACUAACUACCAACAAGGCACAACCAGUGAUGGAAGUUCCUCUUUGAUAACCACUUUCUGGGAUUGCCUCCUGGUACCCAGGACCUCCCUUGAACAAAGCUAGACCAGAGAAGACAAGCAUCUGCUUCAUGGCAGGCAGGGAGGCUGCAGUAGCUUCCUACCCGUGCAUCCAGAGGCCUGUUGGCAUACCUCUAUUAACAUCAGUCAGAGCCGCAUAAUGACUUGUCUUCACAUCUGAUUGUAUGUUCUUUGAGCAGAAGAUCUUGUACUUUCCAUUUUAUAAGGCUGGUGUACAUUGCAGGUACAGAGGAGCCUGGCAGGCUACAGUUCAUAGGGUUGCAAAGAGUCAGACAUGACUUAGCGACUAAACAGUAGCAACACUGUCGGUGCUCAGGAUGUGUUUGGGAAAUACAUCACAGAGAGACUGUCUCCAUGAGUAAGGGGCUCCAAGCACGGCUGCAGCAGACACUUGCACUCUCAGUCCAGCUGCACGAGGCAAUGUCAAAAGUGCAGGAUUGUCAUUGGACACUGGAGAAUGAAAAACUGAAAAGGUCACUGGUUUCCAUUAUGGAGACCCUUCCCUCCCUGCCUCUCCAGCUAUAAUGGCAUCUUAAAAGAAGCAAAGACCAAAGGAAGGAGAAAGCUCUGAACUGUCAGAACUGGGGGGGAAAAAAUGACAAUUUCCUGUUCACCAUCAUACCCUCAUUUCACUGCUCUACUUGACUCCCAGGACAAUUUGCCUCCACUGGAUCUGCCACCCACACCCUCCAACAGCUCUGGACACCACCCACUAAUGCAGACCUCCUGGUUCUGUGAACUUUUUAGGAUGUGAGGGAAAAAAUAAAACAAAAACUGAUGUCAACUAAUGGACCAGGCCAAAUAAAUUCUUGAACUUGCUUUUGUGUCUUGCAAGAAGCCUAACCAUGCUCUCUUCACAGAACACAUAUGUUCAUAAGACUAACUGACAUCUUAUUUUCCAUACUGUGGAAGUGAGGGUUUCUGCUCAUACGCUGAGUUUUUGUAAGGCCAAGGAGUAUCAUCAUGAUUCUAAACCCUAACUAUGGGAAACCAUACUUAACCCCGAGUUAUGGUUCCAUAUAUGAGAGAAACGGUAAGUUUUUACCAACUGCAAUUUAAUGGAGAAAUUCAAAGAAAUAAUCUUGGACUGCGGAGAUAUGAAGGUUUUGGCCAAAAUAAAGAUUUUUUUUUUUUUUUUACAAGAUAGGCUUUAUAUGUAACGAGCAUUUCAAACAUUUUGAUGAAAACAUUUCACUUAAAUCUAAUCAAAUGCCUAAGAAUUACCUAGUUUUGUAACAAAUAGCUGGAAAUGUUUGUAUUCAAGUAGCCUUUAGAAGGAAGCACCAAAUUUAUUGAAAUUCACUUCUUUAGAAGUUCCUAAAAUGGGUGGAAGUUAAGGGAAAGUGGUAGCUGUUAGAAAAAUACAGUAUCUGUCACUACUAAUAAAGCAUAUGGCUAAAACCUAAUCUAGGUAUCUAUUUUUAAAUUAGGCUUAAGAUUUUAAGGAAGUUCAUAUCUAAAUUGUAACUCAUUCAACAGUCAGAGCUGCCAAGUUUCUGAAAGUUACAAGUGAACACAAAAUCUAUUCAGGCUCACAUACUAAUUUUGUAGGAACUGGAAGGACCAUCAAUGCCAAAUAAGAAAAAAAUUCCUGUAUUUUUAAACAGGCAUUGACUCAUGGAAGUAUUUCCCUCUUACUUGCUCUAAUUCCAACUCUUUUUUAUUUUUUUUAGUAGUUGUUCGUGCUUUUGGUCAAGCCAUCAUCUCUCUGAUUUUAAGUAACUAAAUGAUAUACUGUAUCUUAGUCACAAUAGCCUAAUUUAGACAAUGAUCUCUACUUCCUAAAAUGAAGUAUUCCCCCAAGGGCAAAGCAAAGAUUUCACAUCAAAGUAUAUUUUGCUCAUCUAUCUCAUAAAUGGGUGAAUCUGAUUAUAAAACU